UACGUAGGUGGCAAGCGUUGUUCGGAAUUAUUGGGCGUAAAGGGCGCGUAGGCGGUUUGCUAAGUCAGUUGUGAAAGCCCGGGGCUCAACCCCGGAGGGUCGGCUGAUACUGGUGGACUAGAGUACGGAAGAGGUAGCUGGAAUUCCCGGUGUAGCGGUGAAAUUCGUAGAUAUCGGGAGGAACACCUGAGGCGAAGGCGGGCUACUGGGCCGAUACUGACGCUGAGGCGCGAAAGCCAGGGGAGCAAACGGG
rnacentral:rRNA from 1 species